UGAAGCCAUCAGCCUUGUUAAAAUACUCCAAAACAAAAAUUGUCAGUAGAGUUCCAUUCUUAAGCUUAGUUUGGCAAUGCUAUUCCCUCUGUAUUUUCCUUUGAAGCUUUCCAAUGUUGGCUAACUAGCUUGCUAGUGGGGCUAAUGUUGCUUUUGUUGUAGAAAGCCCUUGUUGAUACUAGCCAGAUGGCCACAGCUAGUUAACUAGCUAGCAAGAUGACGAAGAAACAAUUUAAUUCACUCUCCAUAAUCCCAAAGUGUCAGCCCAUAGACAGUUUUUUUUAGCUCGCUAGCUAACGUUAGCUAAACCGUUAGCGUGCCAUUCGCUACCGAGCACAACACUUUUUUCCUUUUUGCUGUCACUCCUGUCAGCUCCCCCACAUGGAGAUUUGUGCUCUAUCAUUGGCUCAAAGCCAAGUUAUCGGGCGACUGAGGAGCAUUGCGAUUCUACAAGUAGAAACAUCCGGUUCGUCGGUACCAGCUCGGUAUGCAGCAGAUGUUCAACUUUGACAGGCCAGGGAUGUGUGGCCAGAGGAUGGAGGUGUGGACUGAUGUCGUUGAUGCCACAGCCUGGCAACUACAGGAGACCAUCUCUAUCAGCAAAGCCCUGGAAGCCCUUGUUCCAGAUGUUCAUCUUUGACAGGCCAGGGAUGUGUGGCCAGAGGAUGGAGGUGUGGAGUGAUGUCGUUGACAUCACCCUCCACACCCUGGCAACUACAGGAAAUCAUCUGUUCCAGCCGUCACAGACACACACACACACACACACACACACACACACUUCCAAAUAACUACCAUCAACAGAAUUCUUUGAAAGUGGAGGACCAGUUGUGCUUUUACUUUCGCAGUUCCAUGCAAAUAGGCACAACGAGUUCUGAGUGAUGGGUUUUAUGGUGUGUGAAGCAAUGGUGGGCAAUACACUGUCUGUGAUGACUACUUAAAGCUUGUGACUCUACAAACUUAUUGGAUGCAUUUUCAGUUCAGUUUGGUUGUUUCUGAUUAUUUUGUGCCCAAUAAAUAUCAGCACCCCUACUUAAAAGUAAAGAAAAUAUAUUACUUGUUAAACUAAAUCUCUUUCUCUGAGCAAUUGUGUUUGUAUAAGAUAAUAUCAUUUCCAAAUGUUUUGCUCAGUAUUUGAAUUAUUUAUUUUAUACGGUCAUUAUUGCUCAUCUUUAUCAAGGGUGUUGUGUGUUAAUCUGGUUUAAUGACCUGUUAAAUCCCCCUCCAAUGCAUAGUCACCACAAAGACACCCAUCAAUCAAAAAU
rnacentral:lncRNA from 1 species